GAUAUCAUUCACAGCCGCCAUCUUCUGGUUAUGGUCAACCAGAGACAGGUUCACAACUUGCUCAACCACCAAGUUAUGGUGCGGCAUCUGCCCAGCCUGGAUAUGGAGCCCCAACCUAUGGAGCUGGUUAUGGAGCACCUUAUAACACCUCUUAUGGUGGUAGUUACUCACAGCCUCCAACAUAUCCAGCCGACAACAAUGCUGGUGGGAGCACUAAUGGAAAUUACGAUGCAGCACCAGCAUCUAAAACUGUUGACCAGGGUGGAGUUGCCAAGGCAUCCCCCAAAAGUUGAUUUGGCCGUAGUACGAUUUUAUAAUUUUGAAUUUGUG
rnacentral:lncRNA from 1 species